rnacentral:rRNA from 1 species
CCUACGGGAGGCAGCAGUGGGGAAUCUUCCGCAAUGGGCGAAAGCCUGACGGAGCAACGCCGCGUGAUCGAAUGAAGGCCUUCGGGUUGUAAAGAUCUGUUGACAGGGACGAAUAAGCAAUGCGAAUAGGUUUUUGUAUGACGGUACCUGUUCAGACAGCUCCGGCUAACUCCGUGCCAGCAGCCGCGGGAAUACGGAGGGAGCAUGCGUGGUCCGGCAGUACUGGGCGUAAAGGGCGCGUAGGUGGGCGCUUAAGUCAGGUGUGAAACCUCCGGGCUCAACCUGGAGACUGCAGUUGAAACUGGGUGGCUUGAGGGCAGGAGAGGAAGGUGGAAUUCGUAGUGUAGCGGUGAAAUGCGUAGAUAUUAGGAGGAACACCAAUGGCGAAGGCGACUUUCUGGACUGUAACUGACGCUGAGGCGCGAAAGCGUGGGUAGCGAACGGGAUUAGAUACCCCAGUAGUC